GCACAAGCGGCGGAGCAUGUGGAUUAAUUCGAUGCAACGCGAAGAACCUUACCUGGGUUUGACAUACACCAGACGCUGGUAGAGAUAUCAGUUCCCUUGUGGUUGGUGUACAGGUGGUGCAUGGCUGUCGUCAGCUCGUGUCGUGAGAUGUUGGGUUAAGUCCCGCAACGAGCGCAACCCUUGUCCUGUAUUGCCAGCGGGUUAUGCCGGGGACUUGCAGGAGGCUGCCGGGGUCAACUCGGAGGAAGGUGGGGAUGACGUCAAGUCAUCAUGCCCCUUAUGUCCAGGGCUUCACACAUGCUACAAUGGCCGGUACAGAGGGCUGCGAUACCGUGAGGUGGAGCGAAUCCCUUAAAGCCGGUCUCAGUUCGGAUCGGGGUCUGCAACUCGACCCCGUGAAGUCGGAGUCGCUAGUAAUCGCAGAUCAGCAACGCUGCGGUGAAUACGUUCCCGGGCCUUGUACACACCGCCCGUCACGUCAUGAAAGUCGGUAACACCCGAAGCCGGUGGCCUAACCCUUGUGGAGGGAGCCGUCGAAGGUGGGAUCGGCGAUUGGGACGA
rnacentral:rRNA from 1 species